CCCUAUUAUCAUAUCUCGACUCACACGUCGAUGAAGAACGUAUAUAGCAAAAUGUGAUAUUUGGCGUGAAUUGUAGAAUCCCGUAAACUAUCAAGCCUUUGACCGCAAGUUACGCCCCAAAUCAUUAGACAUAAAAUAUGUUUGCCUAGACGUCA
rfam:Nicotiana sylvestris Nsyl_contig155410, whole genome shotgun sequence.